CAGAUUGUGGGGCGACACAAAGAUGGUGUCGAUUGUCACCCGGACACCUCGUUUGACUGCCGUUGCUUAGCUGGUGGAAAAAAACGUACUAAUCAGAUGGAACGAAAGAACCUGUGCGAAGAGGACAUACGCCCAAAACCGCCUGUAGGAGGCGCGUGUUGAGUUGGUAAAAAGAUUGCACUAGAAUCACGCUGACGUCGCUACACCAUAGAGUAACAUAAAAGUAUAAGUAGUCAUUCGGGCAAAAAGCAGCUUAGCUAUGCAGCUUCACCCCAACCGUAAGAUGGAAAUACAUCACUCAUUGCUUCAAGGAAACACACGUGCUGGUUAUUUACUACAGAACAUUUUCUGGACCAUUAAACGUGUACGUGCUUAGAGUAUG